UAUGGCCAUAUCGCGUUGAAAUACCGGUUCUCGCGUGAUCACCGAAGUUAAUCAACGUUGACCCUGGUCAGUACCUAGAUAGGUGACCUCUUGCGAAUACCAGGGGUCGUAAG